CAGGAAGGACCGCUGAGUCAGUGAAAAAUCCUAAAAGGGAUCCCAGAGGAUCGGUGGGAAGGUAGGAAACUUUAGAAGGGACCUCAGGAAUAUGGGGCAGGGAAUUAGUAAAUUCAGUUGCCCCAGGAAGGAAAGGAGCAAGCAGGCAUUGCCGGAUAUACCCUUAGACAGUCCUCUAGGGGUGAGGAUUUUAAAUUGGGA